GAAAUGCGAUAAGUAAUGUGAAUUGCAGAAUUCCGUGAAUCAUCGAAUCUUUGAACGCACAUUGCGCCAUAGGAGUCUUACCCUAUGGCACAUCUGGUUGAGGGUCGGGAUCAAACACAGCAAGCUUUGAGCUGUAAUAGAGCUAGUUGACGAAUCAUCAGACCGGCAUACGCCUUAUUGUCGGUGGUGUUUUGUCAUAAUGCUAUAGAGGGUACGCGUUUAAUGGGUACUUCCUUACCACACGGAUGGGCAGGCAAGUCGAUUGACUUGUGGUCCGGCCUCCGGGUAUUGUACAAACGUCUAACGUAUAUACUCGGUUGGUUGGGAGGCCGUCGCUUGGCUUAACCUAUACGUGCCUGGUAGUAGAUUCCGUUAUGAACGGAUUUCCCGACCUCAACUCAGGUGUGAUUACCCGCUGAACUUAA
rnacentral:misc_RNA from 1 species